rnacentral:rRNA from 1 species
UACGUAGGGCGCAAGCGUUGUCCGGAAUUAUUGGGCGUAAAGAGCUCGUAGGUGGCUUGUCACGUCUGCCGUGAAAUCCUGUGGCUUAACUGCGGGUCUGCGGUGGAUACGGGCUGGCUAGAGGUAGGUAGGGGCAAGCGGAAUUCCUGGUGUAGCGGUGAAAUGCGCAGAUAUCAGGAGGAACACCGGUGGCGAAGGCGGCUUGCUGGGCCUUACCUGACGCUGAGGAGCGAAAGCGUGGGGAGCGAACAGG